rnacentral:rRNA from 1 species
AGUGAACGCUGGCGGCGUGCCUAAUACAUGCAAGUCGAACGGAGUGGCGCACGGGUGAGUAAUGUAUAGCUAAUCUGCCCUACACUAGAGGACAACAGUUGGAAACGGCUGCUAAUACUCUAUAGUGUAGGAUGAGGCUAUAUUGUAUCAGCUAGUUGGUGAGGUAAAGGCUCACCAAGGCUAUGACGCAUAACUGGUCUGAGAGGAUGAUCAGUCAAGCUGGAAGUGAGACACGGUCCAGAAUCAGUCGGGAGGGAGCAGUAGGGAAUAUUGCUCAAAGGGAGAAACCCUGAAGGAGCUACGCCGCGUGGAGGAUGACACUUUUCGGAGCGUAAGCUCCUUUUGUUAGGCAAGCGUUACCUAACGAAUAAGCACCGGCUAACUCCGUGCCAGCAGCCGCGGUAAUAC